rnacentral:rRNA from 1 species
UACGUAGGGAGCGAGCGUUGUCCGGAAUUACUGGGUGUAAAGGGAGCGUAGGCGGGGAUGCAAGUUGGGUGUCAAAACUACCGGCUCAACUGGUAGUCGCACUCAAAACUGCAACUCUUGAGUGAAGUAGAGGCAGGCGGAAUUCCGUGUGUAGCGGUGAAAUGCGUAGAUAUACGGAGGAACACCAGUGGCGAAGGCGGCCUGCUGGACAUUAACUGACGCUGAGGCGCGAAAGCGUGGGGAGCAAACAGG